UACGUAGGGUGCGAGCGUUGUCCGGAAUUACUGGGCGUAAAGAGCUCGUGGGUGGUUUGUCGCGUUGUCCGUGAAAACUCACAGCUUAACUGUGAGCGUGCGGGCGAUACGGGCAGACUGGAGUACUGCAGGGGAGACUGGAAUUCCUGGUGUAGCGGUGGAAUGCGCAGAUAUCAGGAGGAACACCGGUGGCGAAGGCGGGUCUCUGGGCAGUAACUGACGCUGAGGAGCGAAAGCGUGGGGAGCGAACAGG
rnacentral:rRNA from 1 species